GGGGGGCCGCGUUGUGGGAUUUUUUCCCCAAGGGGGGAAAAGGCCGGAGGGGACAACCCCGGGGUGGGUAAAAAGGGUUCUGGGUUCAACAAACCUUGUUGUAAGGAAGAAUGACCUUGGGGGUUACUUGUUCAAUUGGGGACGGUUUUCUACCAGAAAGGAACGGCUAAAUACGUGCCAGCAGCCGCGGUAAUACGUAUGUUCCAAGCGUUAUCCGGAUUUAUUGGGCGUAAAGCGAGCGCAGACGGUUAUUUAAGUCUGAAGUGAAAGCCCUCAGCUCAACUGAGGAAUUGCUUUGGAAACUGGAUGACUUGAGUGCAGUAGAGGAAAGUGGAACUCCAUGUGUAGCGGUGAAAUGCGUAGAUAUAUGGAAGAACACCAGUGGCGAAGGCGGCUUUCUGGACUGUAACUGACGUUGAGGCUCGAAAGUGUGGGUAGCAAACAGGAUUAGAUACCCUGGUAGUCCACACCGUAAACGAUGAGUGCUAGGUGUUUGAGGGUUUCCGCCCUUAAGUGCCGCAGCUAACGCAUUAAGCACUCCGCCUGGGGAGUACGACCGCAAGGUUGAAACUCAAAGGAAUUGACGGGGACCCGCACAAGCGGUGGAGCAUGUGGUUUAAUUCGAAGCAACGCGAAGAACCUUACCAGGUCUUGACAUCCCUUGACAACUCCAGAGAUGGAGCGUUCCCUUCGGGGACAAGGUGACAGGUGGUGCAUGGUUGUCGUCAGCUCGUGUCGUGAGAUGUUGGGUUAAGUCCCGCAACGAGCGCAACCCUUAUUACUAGUUGCCAGCAUUUAGUUGGGCACUCUAGUGAGACUGCCGGUGACAAACCGGAGGAAGGUGGGGAUGACGUCAAAUCAUCAUGCCCCUUAUGACCUGGGCUACACACGUGCUACAAUGGCGUAUACAACGAGUUGCCAACCCGCGAGGGUGAGCUAAUCUCUUAAAGUACGUCUCAGUUCGGAUUGUAGGCUGCAACUCGCCUACAUGAAGUCGGAAUCGCUAGUAAUCGCGGAUCAGCACGCCGCGGUGAAUACGUUCCCGGGUCUUGUACACACCGCCCGUCACACCAUGAGAGUUUGUAACACCCAAAGCCGGUGGGGUAACCUUCUGGAGCCAGCCGUCUAAAGCACUAAAAAAGGAA
rnacentral:rRNA from 1 species